UUGUGGCGCAAUUGGUUAGAGCACCGACCUUCCAACCAGGAGGUCGGUGAAUAGAAACCGCCUGCUU
rnacentral:tRNA from 1 species